UACGGAGGGUGCAAGCAUUAAUCGGAUUUAUUGGGCGUAAAGGGCGCGUAGGCGGGGAUGAAAGUCAGAUGUGAAAUCCCGGGGCUCAACCUCGGAACUGCAUUUGAAACUCCAUCUCUUGAGGGUGGGCGGAGAAAACGGAAUUCCACGUGUAGCGGUGAAAUGCGUAGAUAUGUGGAAGAACACCGGUGGCGAAGGCGGUUUUCUAGCUUAUUCCUGACGCUGAGGCGCGAAAGCAAGGGGAUCAAACAGG
rnacentral:rRNA from 1 species